rnacentral:rRNA from 1 species
UGGUGUCGUGAGAUGUCUGGUUAAGUCCGAUAACGAACGAGACCUUAACCUGCUAAAUAGUCAUGCAAACUUCGGUUUGUACCUGACUUCUUAGAGGGACUAACCAUGUUUAAUGGUUGGAAGUUUGAGGCAAUAACA